rnacentral:rRNA from 1 species
UGCCAGCAGCCGCGGUAAUACGGAGGGGGUUAGCGUUGUUCGGAAUUACUGGGCGUAAAGCGCACGUAGGCGGAUUAGUAAGUUGGAGGUGAAAUCCCAGGGCUCAACCUAGGAAUUGCUUUUAAAACUUCUGUUCUGGAAUUAAGGAGAGGAAAAUGGAAUAUCCAGUGUAGAGGUGAAAUUCGUAGAUAUUGGAUGGAACACCAGUGGCGAAGGCGAUUUUCUGGACUUAUAUUGACGCUGAGAUGCGAAGGCAUGGGUAGCAAAUGGGAUUAGAUA